UGGGAACGUACCUUUUGGUUCGGAACAACACAGGGAAACUUGUGCUAAUACCGGAUAAGCCCUUACGGGGAAAGAUUUAUCGCCGAAAGAUCGGCCCGCGUCUGAUUAGCUAGUUGGUGAGGUAACGGCUCACCAAGGCGACGAUCAGUAGCUGGUCUGAGAGGGCGAUCGGCCACACUGGGACUGAGACACGGCCCAGACUCCUACGGGAGGCAG
rnacentral:rRNA from 1 species